UACGUAGGGGGCAAGCGUUAUCCGGAUUUACUGGGUUUAAAGGGUGCGCAGGCGGAGGCACAAGUCAGCGGUAAAAAUGCGGUGCUCAACGCCGUCGAGCCGUUGAAACUGGCGUUCUUGAGUGGGCGAGAAGUAUGCGGAAUGCGUGGUGUAGCGGUGAAAUGCGUAGAUAUACGGAGGAACACCAGUGGCGAAGGCGGAUUGCUGGACAGUAACUGACGCUGAGGCGCGAAAGCGUGGGGAGCAAACAGG
rnacentral:rRNA from 1 species